GCGGGUUGGGAGGAGGCGGCGGCGGGGGCGGCUCGGGCCUGCCCUGAGGGAGGCGCAGCGACCGCGCCCUUGCGUUCGGCCGCCCGGGGAAGACCCCUCGUCCCGGGGCACGCAGGUUACUGGUCUGUAAGAGUCCUAUAGCACAGCAGCAGUGAAGAUCAGACUCCCAUUACGACACAACUGAAGUGGCCGGGUUUGCUGGAGUAGUCAUUGUCUUGGGCACUCUUGUCUUUUGAAGAUCCCACGAUGUAUGUGACAGUGGCAGCUCCAGGUAUGUCUGAUAGCAGUCGCUUCUUUCUGACUGUGAGAAUGGAAGCAGAGCCCUGCUACAACAUGUGAAUCAACU